AGUGAACGCUGGCGGUAGGCCUAACACAUGCAAGUCGAACGGCAGCACAGUAAGAGCUUGCUCUUACGGGUGGCGAGUGGCGGACGGGUGAGGAAUACAUCGGAAUCUACUUUUUCGUGGGGGAUAACGUAGGGAAACUUACGCUAAUACCGCAUACGACCUACGGGUGAAAGCAGGGGAUCUUCGGACCUUGCGCGAUUGAAUGAGCCGAUGUCGGAUUAGCUAGUUGGCGGGGUAAAGGCCCACCAAGGCGACGAUCCGUAGCUGGUCUGAGAGGAUGAUCAGCCACACUGGAACUGAGACACGGUCCAGACUCCUACGGGAGGCAGCAGUGGGGAAUAUUGGACAAUGGGCGGAAGCCUGAUCCAGCCCUACCGCGUGGGUGAAGGAGGCCUUCGGGUUGUAAAGCCCUUUUGUUGGGAAAGAAAAGCAGCAGGUUAAUACCCCGCUGUUCUGACGGUACCCAAAGAAUAAGCACCGGCUAACUUCGUG
rnacentral:rRNA from 1 species